CCUACGGGAGGCUGCAGUGAGGAAUAUUGGUCCAUGGACGCAAGUCUGAACCAGCCAUGCCGCGUGCAGGAAGACGGCUCUAUGAGUUGUAAACUGCUUUUGUACGAGGGUAAAGGCAGGUACGUGUAUCUGUCUGAAAGUCUCGUACGAAUAAGGAUCGGCUAACUCCGUGCCCGCAGCCGCGGUAAUAAGGAGGAUUCCAGCGUUAGCCGGAUUUAUUGGGUUUAAAGGGUGCGUAGGCGGUCGGAUAAGUUAGAGGUGAAAUCCCGAGGCUCAACUUCGGAAUUGCCUCUGAUACUGUUCGGCUAGAGAGUAGUGGCGGUAGGCGGAAUGUAUGGUGUAGCGGUGAAAUGCGUAGAGAUCAUACAGAACACCGAUUGCGAAGGCAGCUUACCAGGCUACUUCUGACGUUGAGGCACGAAAGCGUGGGGAGCAAACAGGAUUAGAUACCCUUGUAGUC
rnacentral:rRNA from 1 species